UACAGAGGUCUCGAGCGUUGUUCGGAUUCAUUGGGCGUAAAGGGUGCGUAGGUGGCGCUGUAAGUCGGAUGUGAAAUCCCGGGGCUCAACCCCGGAACUGCAUUCGAUACUGCCCUGCUAGAGUACUGGAGAGGAGAUUGGAAUUUACGGUGUAGCAGUGAAAUGCGUAGAUAUCGUAAGGAAGACCAGUGGCGAAGGCGGAUCUCUGGACAGUUACUGACACUGAGGCAGCGAAGGCCAGGGGAGCAAACGGG
rnacentral:rRNA from 1 species